GAAAUGCGAUAAGUAAUGUGAAUUGCAGAAUUCAGUGAAUCAUCGAAUCUUUGAACGCACCUUGCGCUCCUUGGUAUUCCUUGGAGCAUGCCUGUUUGGGUAUCAUGAAAUCUUCAAAGUAAAUCUUUUGUUAACUCAAUUGGCUUCUACUUUGGUAUUGGAGGUCUUUGCAGCUUCACACCUGCUCCUCUUUGUUCAUUAGCUGGAUCUCAGUGUUAUGCUUGGUUCCACUCGGCGUGAUAAGUUAUCUAUCGCUGAGGACACUGUAAAAGGUGGCCAAGGUAAAUGCAGAUGAACCGCUUCUAAUAGUCCAUUGACUUGGACAAUACUUUUAUGAUCUGAUCUCAAAUCAGGUAGGACUACCCGCUGAACUUAAGC
rnacentral:misc_RNA from 1 species